UGGGGAAUAUUGCACAAUGGGCGAAAGCCUGAUGCAGCAACGCCGCGUGAGUGAUGAAGGUCUUCGGAUUGUAAAGCUCUGUCUUUUGGGACGAUAAUGACGGUACCAAAGGAGGAAGCCACGGCUAACUACGUGCCAGCAGCCGCGGUAAUACGUAGGUGGCGAGCGUUGUCCGGAUUUACUGGGCGUAAAGGGUGCGUAGGCGGAUGUUUAAGUGAGAUGUGAAAUACCCGGGCUUAACUUGGGUGCUGCAUUUCAAACUGGAUAUCUAGAGUGCAGGAGAGGAGAAUGGAAUUCCUAGUGUAGCGGUGAAAUGCGUAGAGAUUAGGAAGAACACCAGUGGCGAAGGCGAUUCUCUGGACUGUAACUGACGCUGAGGCACGAAAGCGUGGGUAGCAAACAGGAUUAGAUACCCUGGUAGUCCACGCCGUAAACGAUGAGUACUAGGUGUAGGAGGUAUCGACCCCUUCUGUGCCGCAGUAAACACAUUAAGUACUCCGCCUGGGAAGUACGAUCGCAAGAUUAAAAACUCAU
rnacentral:rRNA from 1 species